AUUUUAAGUGUGUUUCGAGUUAUUAGAGUUUUUAGCCUAAUUUUGUGUCCUUGAGUCUUAUUUAAUAUUUUUAAUUUAAUUUAGAAUAGAUUAGCAAUCCCUCCUAAUCCCCGGCCUAGAACGAUACCCUACUUACAUCCAUACUACAAUUGUCAAAAAGAGGGUUUAAUUUUGUGUGUUAACUUAUUUUACGCAUCAAUCAUUCAUCCCCAUUUCAAUACAACCUUCAUCCAAACACAUCCAUUCAUCUUCACAUCCAUUCCUCCAUACAAACAAACCUUCAAACACUCACCAACACCUUGUGCCGUAGCAAAGGAAGGGAAGGAAAGUGCUUAGACGUGCUUGCUGUCCAACUUGGAUCGUUGGAGCAUUUAGGUGUUUUCUUUCUUUUGUUUCUAAUG
rnacentral:lncRNA from 1 species